AGAGUUUGAUCAUGGCUCAGAUUGAACGCUGGCGGCAGGCCUAACACAUGCAAGUCGAACGGUAACAGGAAGCAGCUUGCUGCUUUGCUGACGAGUGGCGGACGGGUGAGUAAUGUCUGGGAAACUGCCUGAUGGAGGGGGAUAACUACUGGAAACGGUAGCUAAUACCGCAUAACGUCGCAAGACCAAAGAGGGGGACCUUCGGGCCUCUUGCCAUCGGAUGUGCCCAGAUGGGAUUAGCUAGUAGGUGGGGUAAAGGCUCACCUAGGCGACGAUCCCUAGCUGGUCUGAGAGGAUGACCAGCCACACUGGAACUGAGACACGGUCCAGACUCCUACGGGAGGCAGCAGUGGGGAAUAUUGCACAAUGGGCGCAAGCCUGAUGCAGCCAUGCCGCGUGUAUGAAGAAGGCCUUCGGGUUGUAAAGUACUUUCAGCGGGGAGGAAGGGAAGUAAAGUUAAUACCUUUGCUCAUUGACGUUACCCGCAGAAGAAGCACCGGCUAACUCCGUGCCAGCAGCCGCGGUAAUACGGAGGGUGCAAGCGUUAAUCGGAAUUACUGGGCGUAAAGCGCACGCAGGCGGUUUGUUAAGUCAGAUGUGAAAUCCCCGGGCUCAACCUGGGAACUGCAUCUGAUACUGGCAAGCUUGAGUCUCGUAGAGGGGGGGUAGAAUUCCAGGUGUAGCGGUGAAAUGCGUAGAGAUCUGGAGGAAUACCGGUGGCGAAGGCGGCCCCCUGGACGAAGACUGACGCUCAGGUGCGAAAGCGUGGGGAGCAAACAGGAUUAGAUACCCUGGUAGUCCACGCCGUAAACGAUGUCGACUUGGAGGUUGUGCCCUUGAGGCGUGGCUUCCGGAGCUAACGCGUUAAGUCGACCGCCUGGGGGAGUACGGCCGCAAGGUUAAAACUCAAAUGAAUUGACGGGGGCCCGCACAAGCGGUGGAGCAUGUGGUUUAAUUCGAUGCAACGCGAAGAACCUUACCUGGUCUUGACAUCCACAGAACUUUCCAGAGAUGGAUUGGUGCCUUCGGGAACUGUGAGACAGGUGCUGCAUGGCUGUCGUCAGCUCGUGUUGUGAAAUGUUGGGUUAAGUCCCGCAACGAGCGCAACCCUUAUCCUUUGUUGCCAGCGGUCCGGCCGGGAACUCAAAGGAGACUGCCAGUGAUAAACUGGAGGAAGGUGGGGAUGACGUCAAGUCAUCAUGGCCCUUACGACCAGGGCUACACACGUGCUACAAUGGCGCAUACAAAGAGAAGCGACCUCGCGAGAGCAAGCGGACCUCAUAAAGUGCGUCGUAGUCCGGAUUGGAGUCUGCAACUCGACUCCAUGAAGUCGGAAUCGCUAGUAAUCGUGGAUCAGAAUGCCACGGUGAAUACGUUCCCGGGCCUUGUACACACCGCCCGUCACACCAUGGGAGUGGGUUGCAAAAGAAGUAGGUAGCUUAACCUUCGGGAGGCGCUUACCACUUUGUGAUUCAUGACUGGGGUGAAGUCGUAACAAGGUAACCGUAGGGGAACCUGCGGUUGGAUCACCU
rnacentral:rRNA from 1 species